UACGAAGGGGGCUAGCGUUGUUCGGAAUUACUGGGCGUAAAGCGCACGUAGGCGGUUAUUUAAGUCAGGGGUGAAAUCCCAGAGCUCAACUCUGGAACUGCCUUUGAUACUGGGUAUCUUGAGUAUGGAAGAGGUGAGUGGAAUUCCGAGUGUAGAGGUGAAAUUCGUAGAUAUUCGGAGGAACACCAGUGGCGAAGGCGGCUCACUGGUCCAUUACUGACGCUGAGGUGCGAAAGCGUGGGGAGCAAACAGG
rnacentral:rRNA from 1 species